CUAUAAUCUGGAUCAAGCUGCUGACUUCUUCACGUGAUGUCGCAUCCUGGCAUGACUCCUCACUUUGUCAUCUUGUUUAUAUUUGCCCUUUUUUCCCCCUUGCAGCCACAAAGCCUUCACUGUCAUCCCCCCAAACCCCAAGAAGAGAAGAGAUAUCCAGAAAAAGGCGGAGGCAGAGCUGGCGGCUCUGGAGGAGCUGAGACUGAGCAGAGCCAUGGCCUACGUCAACAUCCAGCCCAGCAGCGUCGGGGGCUGUUUGAGUCUGGAGGAAGUCCGACUGAAGCAGCAGAAGGAAAUGAUGCAGGCCAAGACAAGAGGAAGCAGAAAGCGCUGUGACGUCAUCAAGGCGGCCUGAUGAUGUGCGUGUUCUCACUGGACGGGACUGGUUCAUUUCUACUGGAGACGUGUUGAUGACACCACAUGAGAAAACAGGGCCUUCAUUUCAUUGAAAAACUUUGGGAAAUACUAUGCUCUGGCGCCAACUCA